rnacentral:rRNA from 1 species
AUACGUAGGGGGCAAGCGUUAUCCGGAUUUACUGGGUGUAAAGGGAGCGUAGGUGGCAUAGCAAGUCAGAUGUGAAAGCCCGGGGCUUAACUCCGGGAUUGCAUUUGAAACUGCUAAGCUAGAGUACAGGAGAGGCAAGUGGAAUUCCUAGUGUAGCGGUGAAAUGCGUAGAUAUUAGGAGGAACACCAGUGGCGAAGGCGGCUUGCUGGACUGUUACUGACACUGAGGCUCGAAAGCGUGGGGAGC